AUUUGCCAUUGGAUGAAGAGAAUGAGACUUCUGGACUGCUGUUUUUCUCCUCCUGUUGCAGGCUCUGCUGCCCCCGGGACCCACGCAGACUAAUCGACAGAUGAGUCAGAUGCUGAACUGGUUCUGCACAGAAAGUCUAGGAUUUGGGGCUUAAGGAACGCCACUUCUCAAAACAUUCAUUACUGUCAGUAUUGCAAGCUGUAGCUCUUAAAGAACAAUAAGCAAACAACAAAAGGACACAGCAUGGAUCACUUGGCUAAAGAUGGCUGAAUGAAGAUAAAUAAAAAAAGUCAAGGUUAUGACAAAACAGAACAGCCAUUUCCAUAUUCAUUUUUAUUAAUACAAAAUGAGGCCAAGUCUUGCUUUUAAAAGGAUCUGUAAUUUCAAGAAUCGUAUGGAAAACUAAGAGGUCAAAACAGCUAUAGAACAGCAUGAAGUUCAAGGAUUGCACUGCUUAAAGAACAAAGAUGUUUUGGCCCUAACACCUGGAGACUGCAUGUAAGCUUUUGGGUUUGCUGGCUUCACUAAUUACCAUGGCUGUUACGAGAGUAAAGCAUGAAUAUAGGGAUCAAAGGGGAGUUGCUUUUUUUGUUGUGUAUGAACAGAGGACGUGGCCUGGAACAGAAGGUAGAAGUGGUAUAUAAUAGAGGCUUACCAUCUUCUCAUUGGAGACAGCAGCAUAACAGCACUUUCACUCUGUUUUCUCUGCCACUGUGAAUAUGGUUCUUUACUUUGGGACAAAAUUUGGCUCUACGGCUUAACCCAAAGUAAAUGCAGUACUCCAGGACUGAAGACCUGGCCUGGGCAGCUAACAGACAACAUAAUCAAGACAAGAGUUCCUGACACAGAGACUGAGAAAAUGAUUCCAGGCUUCUCUGUUUAGUUGACAGUGUGGCCCCAAGUAAAUGUCAGCCCAACGGAUGGCGAGGGAUCCCUUUGCUGCUGACCUAGCAUGCUGCGAGACUGUGGCCUGGGGAAAGCUGAGAGAAGCAGUUCAGCCAGCGCAGAUGUUCUCUGAGCACUCAGCUCCAAGAGUCAAGAACGCACCAAAGCAGACUGACAGGUAGUUUCCUAUGCAGUAAUGGCAAAUCGGGGGAAAAAAAAAAAAAAGAAAAUCUACUGAGUGAAGUUGGGUAAGAAAUACUUUUCACAUUCGAUGAUCUUACUUGCAAUUUCAAAUAUUGUUUUGGUUAUCUUGAACAAAGUGAAGGUUUUCUGAAGAUUUUAAAAGGCAAGUGUGAUUGGGUGGUGGCUAGGCAAUCUUCUAGAAUGUAUCUGACGCAGUUUCAAAUCACUGUUUCGCAUCAAUCUAAUGCAGGGGGUUGACAAUACAAAGGGGUGUCCUACCCACAAAAUAAUUGUGCAGAUGUUCAUUAUGAGAAUUUUCCCAAUUUAUAUAGAGAAUUAAAUAUUAGUGGGUCAGAACAGGACCCUGUAUUCUACUAACAGUAGUCAUGUGGGACAGUAAAACCUGAGUUUAAGUCCGUGCUUCAAUUCAGCUACCAUAGAGAUAAGACAGCCUUCAGCCUCUGGGCUACUGGACUGGGCUAUCCCAGUGGAGCAGUUCCAUAGUUAGACAUUAAUUUGUGAUGUUGCAGAUUAUCUGAUCAUGUUAUGUUGCAGACUGGAGAUCCUCCUCUGAGGCUUGUUCAUUCUGAAGCAGAGUCGAGUCACCUAAUGGAGACCGACACCCAUACUAGGGCAGCUUGCUUGUCCUGCUAGCCUCCCUCUAUAGUCGCUGGUGAAACAGGACUCCCAGGAAGGAAAUUCAAAGAUUUCCAUUAGGUCCUGACUCUGAACUGAUUUUGAGAGACUGAACUGACAGGACCAUUAGGUCCUGACUUUGGAGGAGCCUCUUUCCCCAUGGACUACACACAGACAUGCUCGGACUCCUACCUGAGUCAGAGUGUGAACAUGCCUCAGACUCCUAUGACAAAAUAACCAAAGCAGCUUGUCAAGGCACGCAUGAAGGUGGCAAAAGUUUAAAUCCUAAUAUGAAUUAAAAAGACUGGGGACUUCUUCAAUACCCCAGGUAAGUAAGUGCUAAAUAGUAAAUAGUAUCUCUCUCUCUUUUGAUCAGAAAGUCUAUCCUAUAAUGCAGAAAACUCUUAACAAAUGUGUUUGUUGUUAGAAUAGACAUGGCUCUCUGAAAAGCAACAGUGUCAUUUUCCAAGGAAAAAAUAUUAAACAGACGUUUUUCCCACUUUUCACUAUGGUUUGUUAUACUCGUGAAAUUUUACUCAGUCUACUCUGUCUUACCAUGCAUUUCACAUCUCAGCUGAGCCUCAUGACUUCUUAAGGGUCUUAAGAGUGAAAUUCAGCAUUCUGUCUCACUAUUUUCCCCAUAUGUUUUGCUCUCUCUUUUUUCCCCUUUUUCUUCUCUUUCCUUUUCCUUUCAUCCAUCCUAGAUUUUCUUUUUUUUUCUUUUUUGUUUUUCCACUAUCUGCUUUAAAACUCAGGGCCAGAUUGUGAGCAGUUGCUCACAGAAACAUUCGCAUUGUCGUUAGUAAUAGCUAAUGUGACUGCUCAUUAGUGGUAGCUGUUCACAGUCUGGUCCAUGUGAUUUAGCUUUGUUUCCUUUGUAAGAAAAGCUACUGAUUUUCUUUCUACAGCCCACAUCACUCUUCAGCUUGUUAUUCCUCCCCCAAUUUUAUAUAUAUAUAUAUAUAUAUAUAUUUUAUACACACACACACUCACCCCUGUGUGUUUAUUCUCUUUCAAUCUGUGUUAAAUAAAAUCUUAGGCAUUCACACAUGACAGUAAAAUUCAGCUGAGCAAAUACAGAGGAUUAUGUCUACAGUAGUCACAGUGAAUUCCUUUUAUGCUCAGUGUAGAGAAAGAGGCACUUGUAAGGCACAGUUCCUUUCAUGAAAGUAAAUUUCUAAAAUGGGUCAGAUGAAUCCCAUCUUUAGCAUCUGUGGCUAUCCCGAGAAUCUGUAAUGAAUUAUCUACCUCCAUCAUUAACAUUUUUCCCUGAUAUUUCUUCUCAUGAAAAUGUAAACAAAAGGUGCCAUAGGUACAGCUACAUAGCUUAUUAUUCAUGCUUUAUUACUAAAGGUUAGCUGCCUUUGGUCUAUUUUAUUGAAGGUUCACACUUUCAU